rnacentral:tRNA from 1 species
GGUGGUAUAGCCAAAUGGUUAAGGCAAAGGUCUGCAAAACCUUGAUUCACGGUUCAAAUCCGUGUACCACCU